rnacentral:rRNA from 1 species
UACGUAGGGUGCGAGCGUUAAUCGGAAUUACUGGGCGUAAAGCGUGCGCAGGCGGUUCGUUGUGUCGGCGGUGAAAUCCCCGGGCUUAACCUGGGAACUGCAUUUGUGACUGCAUGGCUGGAGUGCGGCAGAGGGGGAUGGAAUUCCGCGUGUAGCAGUGAAAUGCGUAGAUAUCAGGAGGAACACCGGUGGCGAAGGCGGGUCUCUGGGCCGAUACUGACGCUGAGGAGCGAAAGCGUGGGGAGCGAACAGG